GGUGCUGCUCAGCUUUCUCUGUGCUUGGGAUAAGGCUGUGUAGUGCCAAUAUCCAACUCAUUUCUGAGAUUUUCUACCUUAGAACAUGACUGCUGCCAGUGGGAGAGCACCGAGGUGUGCUUGUCCUGCAGCAGUGUGCCUCUCCAGGCAGGCUUACAUGGAGCCACUGGUGCUGUGUCCCUUCAUCCUUCCAGCAGAGCCUGUUCUUGUGCUCACCCUGAUCCCUGCCCAGCACCUGCUGUGCCCGCAGCCCUUUGCUGCCAAGCACAGCAGCAGAAACAGUCAUCGAUUUGCAUGGAAGUUGGGAGCAUUGCUGUUAGCACCUUGCCAUUCCCAGCCUUGCUCUCCUGUAAGGACAUUCAGCACCGUCCGGUUGAGCAGAUAUUUUAAUUCUGUGCUAACGCCGCCGUUGUUUGCAUGUGUUUUAAUUGAGUGCCAGUGCUGCUGUUGUUUGGCUGGAGCUGCUCAGCAUCCCCUGUUUUAUGUGUGUGUGUGUGUGUCUAAGUGGGAAACGCAGAGCUCGUGAAGUCCUUCGUGCAAACCCCACAGAGCUCUGCAGAGCUGGGGCGCUCGGCGUCGCUCCCAUUGCUGCUGCAUGCAGCUCUCACCCGCUGCAGUGAUGCACACAGCACGCCUGCAGCAGGCAUCUGCUUUUGGGGUCCCUGUAAUAAACUCAUCCGUGAAAGUUUCCCUUCCUUUUAAUUAGGACUAAAUGUCUCCUGGCAGUGGGAGGUGGGGGCUGCAAAGGCGGGUGGAGAUGCAGUGGCACAGAGCUUGUUGUAUCUCCUACUACCCACUGCCACGCUGCUGCUGUUGGUUGGGCUGAGUGUCACUUCUGGCUGUGCAGGGAAGGGUUGUUAAGCCCUGAUGUACAUGGGAGUGCUGUCUGGGCCAAACUUUCAAAGUGCUUUUAUUAAUUUUUCCUCGUUGUUGCUCUUUUCGGAGCACAUCAGCCCAUUCCUGAUCACCUGCCUGCUUCUUACCCCUGGCUCUCUUUGCUUUUAUUCCCCACAAGGCCAAAAAGGACAGCAGUCGAUGCUCACACAGUGCAGCGUCUUUCUGUGGUGUUUGCAGUCUGGCUGCUCCAUCCCUGUGCUCAGGGAGGUCUGCCGGGGGCUGAAGCUUUGCAGCCCGUUCCCUCCUUCAUUUCUUUGCAUAUUUCUUUGUAUGGAAAUUCAUCCAGUGGUUUUCCUUCACCUGUAGCUCUGUGUGUUGUGCCUCUCAGCUUUCAGAUGAUGCUGAGCUGUAAAUCUGCAGCUGGCCAAAACUCCGGGAGAUCAGAGCGGAGUUGUUCUUCUCACAUUUGCUGCAAACACAUCGGUUUCACAGAGUCUGGCCACUGCAUGAGCUGUCUUUAAUUGCAUAUAUGCCUAGUUUGAAAACGGUGAAGGUUAAUUUUAAGACAAACCGAGGUAGGGACAGGUGAUGGCUUUUCAGACUGGGAACUGCCAUGCUGAUAGUGGUACGGUGGUGACAGCAGCACAUUUUCCUCUAGACCACACUGGAGCUGCAGGGCUUUACUCCUGGUUCUUCUGCUUGCUUCCUUGCAGACAAGAAGAAAUGCUAUUUUCUGGUGAUGUUAAUCUCUACGGUGUCAUAAAUGUUAAGUCACAAAAGUGAGCUCCCCUGAGUGCUCGAGGGCUGAAGAGCAGGGGAAGCUGCUGGGGCUUUGCAUUCCUGUGGAGUGGAGGAUUUCUGCUUUGUCUUUCUUUAAACAUUAUCACAGAGCAGAGCUGGAAUGACUGCACAGUGCUGCGCCGAGGAAUCCUGCUGCCCUCCCAGGGAGCAUCUCCUGCAUCCACUUCAGGUGGCCGCAGCGCUGGGUCCCCUCGGUCCCUUCUGCCCCAUGUGGAGCAGAGGUAGGUGGGAGAGCUGUGUUCUCGUUCAUGGGCAUUGCAGCACAAAGGGGCUUUGCUCCUGGUAGAAGGACUCUUAGCAUUUUGUUUUCCGAACAUGACUUCACUGACUCUCAGCAGCAGGGUGCAAUUUACUUUUUCCAGUGAGAACUUUGUGAGCUGAAGAAAUGAGUUUCCCAGCUCUGGAAGCAUCCCAUCGUUGGCUCUCGUUCCAUUGCUCCUUCAGGUUAUGGGGCUGUUCUGGCUGCACAGCACCACGCUCUGCUUCACCCAGGGCCCAGCAGCAAUCCUAUCCCACAGCACAGCAUCGCCUCACCAGGUCUGUCAGCUGCAUCCCAGAAACCCACCAGAAUCACACGACCCAAAACCCUUUCCAACAUCACCGAGUUGCUUUUGCUGAUCCAAUGCUGCGUUACAAGCUCAGCUGUUUCUUUCCAGUGCAGAUAGCAGAUCCCGUGUGCUCAGCUCCCCUCCGCAGAUCACCUCUGGAUACUAUAUUUGGGUGCUGGGGUGCAGCGUGGGGCUGCAUUUGGGUGCUGCAGGGACCUGGUGGCUGGACCAACUCCAUGGGGGAAUGCAGCCCAUCCCAGUGCCUGCAGCUCCCAGCUGAUGCCAGGGAUGGACACAGGGCAACAGCACCGAGAGGGAGAGAAUGGGAUCGAUAGCAGUGGUGCUUGAUAUUCCGCUUAGCAGAACGCUUGUUAUGUCUUUAAUUACUAUUUCUAAAAGCAGCACGGGAUGGUAAGCAAAAGCUAGAAAUAAAUAGCAAGGGGUGAUCAAUUGGGCAUGAAACCCUUGUUAUUGAUCACCUUUAACCUCUGCUUAAACUAAUGACAGAGCUACCAUUUAGCUGUCCCCAGGCACAAAGCACAUCAAUUGCACGAGUGCCACAUAAAUCACGGUGGGAUGCUGCAGAGGGGGGAGGAUGGGGCUCCCUUUGGGGUGCCUGCAGCACCCUUCCUCCCUGCUGCUCCCCCAGGAGGCUCCACCAGCAGACCCCCAUCCCAUGCACUGGCCAUGGCUUCAUGGCAGUUCUGCUUUCAUAGCAGUCCCUGCCCGCCUCUUUCUCCACAGAGCUACAGCGUGAUUUAUGCAGUUAGAAACCCUUUUGAUGCUCCUUUGCGGGGUUGGGGGUGGUUAUGGGGCACGAUGAGUUUGCAAGAGGAAAGGCAGAUAGGAUCCAGGCAAUGAAGAUCUCAGGGCGUUGCUGGAAGUGUCAGAGCUGGGUGUGAUGAGGGUCACCUGUUCCCAUCCACCUUUGGUUGCUUCUCCUGAAUCAUCAGCUGUGCUGGAAUUGCUAUCAGUUACAAGGGAGGGGAAAAAAAUAAUCACCAUUUGCAAUUGGCAGCAGAGUGAAGUCAGCACAGCCUUUCCAGAUAACAGCAAUAAUAUUCAUUAACGUUCGAUCUACAAAUUCUCCCUUGGAACCUCAGCCUGGAGUUGUGCCAGAUCCCAGCACGGAGCUGCCUGCUGGCUUUCAGGGCUAUGCCCAACAUAUGGCACUGUGGGGCUGUGGCUGCCCCUCCUGCUGUGCUUGGGGGGUAUUCCCCUUUCCUUAGAACAGGGCUGGCUGAUGCUCUGUAAACCCAGCCUCCCAGAUUAGAAGGUGAUGUUCUAUGAUGUUCUCUAUUUUUAAUUCUGGUGACUCUGGAAACCAUUCAGAGAGGAUUCAGGUGGUGAAAAUCUCGGAAAUUUGGAAGGGUCCCACCAAGCUGUGUGUCACUGUGUGUAUCUCUAGGGGUUGUUCCCGACCCCAUGAGGACAAGGGGAAUGUCUCCUGCCUGCAGUGCAGCACAGUGAGGGCACAUCUCUGCGGGACUCUCUCAGGAGCUACAGUUAAUACCAGCUUUGCCCUCACCGUGCCAUUUGGAAGGCUUCUCCUGAAACCUUAAACAGUCAUUUGGGUGUCCUCAUCCAUCAGCUCCUGGAAGCUCUAUCGAUAACGCAAUCAUUUCCCCUUUGGUUCCUCUGUUUCCCUUUUUCCGUGCUGCAGACUCUGCAAUUUGUCACUGCCGUCCCCCUGAAAUGCUGGAGGCUGUGCAGGAGCUCCAUGGCACAGGGAGGACUCCUGCACCCCCAGCAGCAGGGAAUGGCCAUGAGCCACCCCAAGCCGUGUGCUGACCAGGUGAUGUGACAGGGAUGCUGCUGGGCUGUGCUGGGUGAGAUGGCUCCUGGGUGGGAUGCUCAGGGCACCCCAGAUCUGAGCUUCCCAAAGUGCCCAUUCCAAUGCUGUCCCCGUGUCCUAGUCUGGCUUUGGGCUGACCCCACAUCUGCCUCACACUGUGUGGGACAGCACCUUGGAGCACGUUGUCCCCUCGCUGCUCUCAGGCCAUAUUUUCCCUUCUGCUUCCCAUCCGUGGGGCUGGUAGGGACACUGCAGUGCUGCCCCAUCCAUGGGGACACACAGCCCUGCACGAUGCUCUCUGGAUCCCCAGAGCAUCCUUAGUCCAAUCGCUGCAGGCAGCGCUGCUGCUCCUUUUAUGACCGAGGACAAAAUAAGCUGCAGCUGUAAUUAGCGUUAAGCUGCUAAUUAGCUUUCACUCUCCAGGGGCUUCUGUGAGGGCUUUGCCUGCAGUCCCUGCACAGCGAGCAGAGCAGAGGGAACACUAUGCAGCUUUCCCUGUGUUGGUCAGAUGGCUCUGCUAGGAGCUCAGUGUGGAAUGGCACUGCUGAAGCAGUUCCUCCUGCCCUUCAUUCAGCCAUGGCAGCGGAAUCCAGGCUCCACACAGAGCGCAUUCAGCCCUGCUCUGUGCAGAUGUCCCUGAGCAAUUCCAUGAAUUGUUGCUCUAUAGUCACUACGCUGUUUGGGAAAACAUUUCGGAUAACUGUCCUACGCAUCGGGGUGACUGAAUGAAUGGCAUUUGAAUGGUCAAAAAGAUAGUGUGAAUUGGGAACAAUGCUGUCCCUGUGAGGGGUGGCAGGAGAAUUCCAGCUGGCAUUUUCCUUGUGAAGGAGCGAGCCCAAGGCCGCGCUACCUUGGAUGGAGCUGGAGGAGCACACAGCUGCCGGCAUCUCCCCCCUGAACUCCCCAAGUGCCAGGAUGGAACACAUGGCAGCUGUGUGAGCACUGUGCUGUCGCUCUGGGGAUGCAUCAGUGGCAGUCCAGGUGAGCACUGCCCAUCUCUACCUCCAUCCAGGGGUGGGAGAAAGCUCUGCGGUAUUUCCAGAUACGCUGCUGUGCCUCACUGUGCAGGAUGACACCAGCGCCCAGCAGCUCCCAUUCCCAUGAGAGGUGUCCCUCCCUGAACCCCCAGCUCGGUGUAUCCACGUGGUGGUGGCACUGCUAUAGGACAGCAUAUGGCACCCAGGGGAGCUGCACUGCAUCUGGACUUGGCGGAGCACGGCGAUCCCGGCCAUACAUCAUCAGGACGAACGCGUGCUUGGGUAACGCAUUAGAAUAAUACAUUAUUAGAGCCCUGUUGCUAUGGUGAUGUAUUAGGGCAAUAUAUCAUUAGGUACCUUCCAUUGAUGAUGUAUUGCUUCCAACAAGGCGUCUGCCAGCACCAACACGAGGGGAAAGUCUCAGCUUUUUGCAGAAACUCCAUCCCUUCCUAAGGAAGAAAAUCCCCAUGCAAUGGCUUCAUUCGGGGAUGUGGAGUGGAGGUUACCAGGGCCCCCCCCUCUCCCCAGGCUCAGUAUGGAGAGGCUCGUUCUGUUCCUUGGCUCGUCUGCAGCACGAUGAGCUGUGUGGAUGCUGUGCUGAUGCUCUUCCUCGCAGACUGCCUGACCCCAACCUGGCUCAGACUUGAAGCCUGGAGCUUUGGGUUCAGAGGGCUCUGGUCAGAUGCAUCCUUGGACGCCUCCACUUCCACAGGGCCGCACCGUGCUCAGCUCAGCAGAGCUGCUAGCACCGACUGCAUGAAAAACACAACCAAAGGGGAAAGAUGAGCACAAGGUGAGCAAAAGCUGAGCAUGCCUGGGCAGCAGUGGUGAAAGCAACAUCAGUGGGAGAUGAUGCCAACGGCCACCCCGACACAUCUGGGCACAACGUGUUAGAGGGGCUGCGGGCAGCCUGGCUGAGCAGAGCCGGCUCCACGGCCGCGGGAUGUGCGGCGCUGCGAGGAAUCUCAACCAUCAAUAAACAUCAGUGUCAAAAAGGACAGGAAAAGGUUAUUUAUCACAAAGCAGGCCAAGGAGCAGGAAUGCAGCAGGGGUGACAUGGGCUCUGGCCACCCCGCUGGGGCCGUGUCCGGUGGCAGCUCGGGGUCAGAGCCGCCAGCCCAGUGCUCUGCGUCCCCAUGGUUCGCCUGGGGCUGGGCUCUGUGCUGUGCCACCAGCCAGGACAGCAGCCUGAUGUUUCUCUUGCUUCCUCCGGUGUAAUCGGGGUGCUGGAGGAGUGACAGUCUCCUUGGAGCGAACCAGGCUGGGGGGAUGGAGGUUUAAAAUAAGAGCUGCUGCCCCAUAGCACUCUGCGUGGCUCUGGGAGCUGUUGGUUCUGAGGUCAGAAAGCUGCAGGAAUGGGGUGUUUGUGUGUGCACGUGGAAGUGGACACAUGUAAUGUGAUGGAGUCUCAAGAGAAGGGGGCUUCUGCAAUGCAGAGGAUGGGCACUGGGUGCUGGUGAUGCUCCUGCUGCUGGUCCCCACCAGAGCACAUCCUGCACUGAGGUCUCAGGGAUGCUGUGAGCACACCCCUGGCAUCCAGAGAGCUUCUGCAGCCUCCCCCCACCACUCCACAUCACCUUCCCCUGAUUAGAGCCUCGGAACAAACCUGCUAAUGCCUUUCCCAAGCUCUCGCCCCCACACUUUUGCCUUAUAAAUCACUGUAAUUAAAGUGUUUGGAAAAUGCUCCGGGAGCCCAGACAAGCAUCCUCACAUGCUCCACACCCAGCUCGGCAAGCCUGACUUCCUGCUGUGCCGGCCCCGGGCUGCAUCCCUUCCCUUCCCUCCCAAUGCCUGGCGGCACAGAGAGAGGAUGGUUCCCAGUCUGCGCCCUCCUGGUGCUCUGGGAUGGGUAGGACACGGUCACAGCUUCCCCAUCAGCUGCACCACGCAGGCACCACUCCCAGCCCAUCCUGAUCCAACGUGCGAGGAGUUGUGCUUCCGUCUCACGCAGAAGGGUCCCUGGGGGUUGCAGGAGUGCUGCUGCUCAGCGUCCAUGGAACGUGAAUUUUUCACAGUGAUCCCCCGCAGUGCAGAUCAAAGUGAUUGUGCAAGAGGAAGAGGCGAAGGGAAGGAAUAAGGCAGAGAGCCAUGGGGAGCAUUCAGGCCUGGGAAAGCCGUGGGGCAGUUUGCUGACCCCAACUGGUGCUCCUGACCCCAGGGCAGAGCGCGAUGUCCUGGGGCCGUUCACUUGCUGAGCCCACCUGCAGUGCUGGGGUCUGGGCACUGGCCAUGCAGGGCUGCAGGCACAGCUGGACCAUUAAGUACCUCUGUUCUCAUGUCCGUUCCUCUUGCCUUUUUGGAGCAGCAAUAUCUGCAGCUUCUGCUCUCACCUCCUAUGCACCUGUUGCUGGUGGCCGUGCCCCGCACCUCCUUAGACCUCCAUGGGUGCUACCAGCCUUAAUCCACUGCUCCAGGUCUCUGCCCAGGAGCACAUCCCUGGCUGUGCUCACCUGGAACCACUGUGCCCAUGCCAGGGAGCUCUGAGUCACCCAGACUUUCCUGUUCUGUUCCCAAGGGCCCCACUGCCAGCACUGCCAGUCGGCACUGGGAUGCUGCAGGCUCCCAAAACACCCAGCUCUGCCUCCUGCUGCUGCUUUUCCUUUUGUAGCAGGAAGGUUCAGCUGCCUUGCUUGCUUUGCAGGCAGAGCAGCCCCUGCUUGUGCACCGUGUAUUUUUCACCUUUAAAUGAAAACAACCAAAUUGUCUGAAGUUGCCUCCCGACUCUUCUCGUGUUGCCAAGAAAUGAUUGACGCAUGGAAUGGAGCAGUGGGUGCAGAGGAAUUUGGCAGCAGCCCAGCCCCGAGAUGCACAAAGGACACUGCUGAUUCCGCUCAGGUUUUUGGAGCACCCUGGGAACAGGCUGUCCCACGCGGGGCGGUGGCAGGAUCUCACCCUGGGGAUGGGACAGUGGCCGUGUUUGGGGAGGAGGGGGUUUGCAGGGGCUGCAGGACGAGCUGAGGACAUCCAGCUUCUGCCAGUGCCUUUCUGGGCUUUUUUCACCAUUGCUUUGUAAUGCAGGAAAUCUUGAGCAUGACUGCAAAUAUCACAUACCUGCGUGUUCUGAUGUAUGUGUGUGCAUGAAGCUGCACCCCAGGGAUUUUUGCCUGGACAGGACCCCCCCCACCUUGGCAAGCACUGACCAGAGCUGCACAGAGCUAGCAUCCAUCCCUGCACUCCUGACACCCACAUGUGCUCCGAGGUGCACCAGUGGCAGAGUGCCUUCCUGGGCAGCAGGCUGAUGGUCUCCUGCUGCACAUGCUGUGUGCAUCACUCAUCCCUAGGAGCUCCCCAUCUCCUAUAGACGGAGAGGGCAAUUUUGUGAAGCUUCCGUAGGCUUAUUAAAAUAUCAUUGUGAAAAGGCGAUGAAAGUACCUGAGCAGAAAAGAUUUGUUCCAUUGGAGACUUCUGAGCCGUGUUUCCUCUUCCUUGUGCCUCCUUCCCAUAGGGGUACAACAGCCAUUUAUUAUCAUGUACAGGAAAAUAAAGCCC